UGCCCAGCAAAUUCUAUCCCUACCUCCUCGCGGUACUGUCCGAGGUACGAGUAACCUUAGGGAAGAUCGGGUAACCAACCCCGGUGGGCACUCUGGUCGUAUGCUGACAGGGAAGG
rnacentral:ribozyme from 1 species